rnacentral:lncRNA from 1 species
GCCUUUGCCUGUCCAAGUGCUCUGUCUCCAACCUUCCAUAUGAAGGUUGGAACAUUUUGUUGUCCAAUCUACUUCUUCCUUCCAUAUCCAUCUGCGUAAUCCAUGAUAGCCGACCGAUCAUCUCCUCUAGCUUUAGACCUUUAGAAAGUAUGGGUAUCCACGAUAGCCGAUCGAUCAUGACAUGCCAUCAACUAAUUAAGGGGAAG